GCUAAGAACAUCAAGAGUUGAAAUGAUUUGCCCAAUAUAUGAAUGUGCGCACACACAAAAAUUAUAUGUAUAUACAUGCACCUGCAUAUGUAUGUACAAGACAUACAUGCAUACAUACAUGUGUGCAUAUAUAUAUAUAUUUAUAUACAGAGAUGAGACAUGAACUUAGCUUUUCUUGACUUCAAGACCAGCUCUAUCAACCAUUAAAACAAAUAAUCAAAUAUUAAUUAAGUAUGAAGUUUUCACCUAAAUGAAAUUACAAUAUAGCACUGACCUAAACAGCAUUAAUUCAUUGAUUAUACUUUUUAAAGUAUGACUAAAAAUUAAGUAACAGAGAAGCAACAAAAGUAGAUUCCUAAAAAGGUUUUCACAGUCUAUUUAGCCACAUAUUAUGUAUGUAUAUAUAUGUUUAUGUAUGUGUACAUAUUAUAUAUACAUAUAUGUAUAUACAUAUAUUUAUAUGCCUUUAACUAACAGAGUAGAUAUAUUAAAAGUUGUGUAGGCAGAUUGGCUAACAGAAUUUUAUUUUAAAUGUUAACUCGUGUUUUUCUUCAACUGGUUGCCUUAGCUCCUUUUUUGAUUUGGUUUUCAGUUCCUUCAUUCUAUCAUAAAUUUUAAACUUAAUAUUUAAUUUUAUUGUACAAUACAGAUAAUAUUGAAGAUGGGGAAUAUAUUGACAGAAUAAAGAGAUGAAAUUCUAUAGCCCCCAGUUUGACCUUUACUUUGCAUUAAUAAAAUUUCUGCACUUAACAAGAAAAAGAAGAGAUUGAAAAUAUAUCUGUACAGUGUGAGACAGUUCAAUAAAAUCACACCUUUCUUGAGUCUUUAUGGUUUCAGAGCCACAAUUAGGCAGCUGUGUGUCCUGCAGAAGUGGCAUGAAACAUAGAUGAUAUGCAAUGCAAGAAAAACCAGCCAUAAGCAUGAGAGGAGCUCACCUACAGGAGAAAGAAAUGCUAUAAAAAUAUUAACUUCUUAUUAUAUAUUAAGCACUGGAGAUAGAAAUAGAAAAGCAAGCUAUCUCCUUUCUCAAGGAACUCACGUUCUAAUUGGGGAAGGCACACAUUCAAGAAGUUUUCAGCUUCAAGUCAGAUGAUAACUUCCUAUUCUAAUUAUUUUUGUUAACUAGGUGAUAUGCCUGGGUUUUUUUUCCCUAGCUACUGAUGGACUACUGCCAAGUACCCUCCAUUGCCUAUAAUUUUUAGUGUGCAAGGACAAAGUUCAGUUUCCUUGCCCUCGUUGUGGUUGUAAAAGCUAAGAAGAAAAAUCAUUUGCAUGCCAUAUUCAGAUGUCUUAAGAUUUAUUUAAGAAGGGAUAUCAUGGUUUCCUACCAAAAAAUUGCUAGUCAGUUUUGACUUCUUUUUCAGUGUCCAAAAUUAUCAUUCAAUUUCAUUCAGCA
rnacentral:lncRNA from 1 species